rnacentral:rRNA from 1 species
GACGAACGCUGGCGGCGUGCUUAACACAUGCAAGUCGAACGGAAAGGCCCUGCUUUUGUGGGGUGCUCGAGUGGCGAACGGGUGUGUAACACGUGAGUAACCUGCCCUUGACUUUGGGAUAACUUCAGGAAACUGGGGCUAAUACCGGAUAGGAGCUCCUGCUGCAUGGUGGGGGUUGGAAAGUUUCGGCGGGUGGGGAUGGACUCGCGGCUUAUCAGCUUGUUGGUGGGGUAGUGGCUUACCAAGGCUUUGACGGGUAGCCGGCCUGGGAGGGUGACCGGCCACAUUGGGACGGGGAUACGGCCCGGACUCCUAGGGGAGGCAGCAGUGGGGAAUAUUGCACAAUGGGCGGAAGCCGGAUGCAGCAACGCCGCGUGCGGGAUGACGGCCUUCGGGUUGUAACCCGCUUUCGCCUGGGACGAAGCGUGAGUGACGGUAAUGGGUAAAGAAGCACCGGCUAACUACGUG